UCCCAGUUCGGAUUGUAGUCUGCAACCCGACUACAUGAAGCUGGAAUCGCUAGUAAUCGCGGAUCAGAAUGCCGCGGUGAAUACGUUCCCGGGUCUUGUACACACCGCCCGUCACACCAUGGGAGCCGGGAAUGCCCGAAGUCGGUGACCUAACCUUUAAGGGGGAGCCGCCGAAGGCAGGUCUGGUAACUGGGGUGAAGUCGUAACAAGGUACC
rnacentral:rRNA from 1 species